GGUCAAUGAUGACUAGUAAAAGGUCUGACACCCGAGGCCACCUCUCAACAGCCUAUGUCCCCAGCUGCUUGCUUCUCUCAUAAUGCUCUAGUAGUGCUGUCAUGGGCAAAAGCAGAAGCUGACAUGCAGUGAUGUCUCCAUUCUGUGUUCCCUGACAAGCACAGAGAAGACACUGGUUGGCAUCCAACAGCUUAGUCACCAAGGGAUUGAUUGUUGGGAGUGCUGGUGUCCUUGGAUAUGAUCUGACAUUUUAAGCUGAGACC